rnacentral:lncRNA from 10 species
UCACAGCUAUGGACAGCCUCUCCUGCAUCCAGAUGUUGAACAGGGGUGGUUCAGUCUAGGUUGUGCUAAAUAAAUAGGGAGAGCCUGACCACCAUACUACAUAAAGCGGGGGUGCUCUGACCUCAGGCAGAAGAGUGUGCUUCUACUUAAAGAAAUGAAAGUUAAUUGUAAAACAGCCACAGGCCGGUCCUUCAGGAAUUAUUCCUGAAGAAGGCACUGUUAUCAUAGGAGAUGACAGCUCCAUGCAUGUUAUUGGCCCCGAAGACCUUCCAGUGAGACAGCAUGUGGAGGUGGAAGACAGUGACGCUGAUGAUCCUGACUCUACGUAGGCUCAGGCUAAUAGGUGUAUUUGUGUCUUCGUUUUUGAUACAAAAAUGUAAGAUAUAAAAAUAUUUUAAAUAGAAAAU